CUGAGAGGGAGGCAGUUAAGACUUGCAGUGAUGUUUAGAGAAAUGUCACAUGAACAUCACUUUAAGUCUGUGCUGGCUCCUGUUCUGAG
rnacentral:pre_miRNA from 8 species